CGAGACAGGUUGACAUGUUUCAGCGCUCCAAGUUUGUUGUUUCUUCCCACAAAGUGCCUUGGAAACAUUGUCUGACGAUGACCUCACCACGUCAUAGACGUCCUCCUCAGGUCGGGGCACGUAGAGCAGAGCGUGGUCGUCCUCGCCCACCUUCACACGCAGGUAGUGAGCAGACACCUCCAGGUUGUGUUUCUGCAGGGAGGACAACCUCUCAUUACUACACCUGAGUGCCUCAAUCACACACUCCCACUUCUAUGUGACACACUGACAGCGUGCAUUGAUCGCCCACACCACGCGUGUGUGUGUGUGUGUGUGUGUGUGUGUGUGUGUGUGUGUGUGUGUGUGUGUGUGUGUGUGUGUGUGUGUGUGUGUGUGUGUGUGUGUGUGUGUGUGUGUGUGUGUGUGUGUGUGUGUGUGUGUGUGUGUGU